UUUUGUUGUCUUUUUCCGUUUUGCAGGGUUCGCGAUCGUCGGGAGGUGGACAGUGACUUCGAAGAGGAAUCAAAUGUACUGGAUGAGGUCCAGUUGGAUGUGCCACUGCUGCCAGUCAUCCUUGAUGUCCAGGAUGCUGCUAUCAUCCUUGAGGAUGUGCCAGAUGUACCGACUAUCCUUGAGGAGGCCACUGGUAAUUGGCAUUUGAUACCGAUUAGGUUCAGCCCCCUGUACUGUGGGCCUGUUGUGAUCAGAACCCAUGCCGGUCCGGUGGCUAAAGCUUGGAGAACUUUCCAGUUCAUCAGCCCCAUUAUCACCUAUAUGC